GGCAGGGCGAGGGCGAGAGACGGAGGGAGGGAGCGAGCGAGGCAGACCAGACAGACAGACAGGCAGGCGGGCGGGCAGGCAGAGCGAGCCACCCGCCAGGCUGCGCUCAGCCCCGCUCGCAGCGGAGAGAGCAGAAGGCAGGAGGAGGGAGGGGAGGAGGGGAGGGAGGGAGAGAGGGAAUCCAGCUACCACCACCCAAAGCCAGCGUCUGCUUUCUGUCCUCAUUUCCUUUUCCCACCCAGCUUGGAGAGCAGAGAAAGGCAGAGAGAGCGAGAAAUAGAGACAGUCUGAGAGACAGACAGACAGCCAGAGAGAGCGGGAGGGAGGAGGGCGGAGGAGGAGGAGCAGGAGGACUACGCGGGGCGCGUUCCCUCCCAGCAGCCGGGCGCCCGCGUCGCUGCUGCCGCCGCCGGAAGACAGACGCCCCCCAAAGCCCCUCGCCUGGCUCGGACCCACGGAGCCGGCAGCCCAGCACUCCGAUGGGCGCUUGCCUGAUUGUCUACCCAUCGGCCUGGACCCCAGAGCCCACCCAGCUGAGCAAAGGGCCCUGGGUGCGGGGCGACGCUCCGGCUGCCGCAGAGACCACCCUGGAGACGCUGGUGAAGACAGGCCUUUCUUGCUGAGCCGGGCCUGUCUGCACGGCCUGCUCAGAAAGGGGAACUGAGGCUCAUGGAUAUACAGUGAGUCCUGCCUCCUAGCCUGAGGACUCUUCCCCGCGCCUUGAUGACCUGGGAGGAGAAAGGGGUUGUGACAGUGACCAAGACUCAGGGCAGAGGUGGAAACCAGAGUGCCUGAUGUGUGCAGCUGCUGCUCCCCCAGGAUACCUCUCUACUGGAGUCUGACGAAGCAGAGAGCUGGGAGGCCAAGGCGCUGUCCACGCCCCGAGGCCUGGGCUCAGGCCGAAGUUGCUCCGCAGCAACCGCAGCUGACAGCCAGCAACUGGCAGAGCCCCCAGGCACGGGGGCCCUCUCCCUCCCAGAGAUUUCCAGUGUGACAGCCCAGGCGGCAGAGCCGAGGGUCCUGGUCCCGGCUUCUCGCACCCUCAUGUCAGCCCCGGCCCCGCCCGGUGGCCCGCGGAGGACAAGGUCAGGAUGCGUGUGAAGCCCCAGGGCCUGGUGGUGACUUCCAGUGCCGUGUGCAGCUCUCCUGACUACCUCCGGGAGCCCAAGUACUACCCCGGCGGCCCCCCCACCCCCCGGCCCUUGCUUCCUACCAGGCCCCCGGCCAGCCCACCCGACAAGGCCUUCUCCACCCACACCUUCUCCGAGAACCCACGUCCGCCCCCACGCCGGGAUCCCAGCACCCGGCGCCCACCAGUCCUUGCCAAGGGGGACGACCCGCUGCCCCCACGGGCAGCCCGCCCUGUCUCACAGGCCCGCUGCCCUACACCGGCCGGAGACGGCAGCAGCUCCCGACGCCACUGGGACAACGGGCGGGUGAACCUGCGUCCAGUGGUGCAGCUGAUUGACAUCAUGAAGGACCUGACGCGGCUCUCCCAGGACCUGCAGCACAGCGGUGUGCACCUGGACUGUGGCGGGCUCCGGCUUAGCCGCCCGCCCGCCCCACCGCCCGGCGACCUGCAGUACAGCUUCUUCUCUUCACCCAGCCUGGCCAACAGCAUCCGCAGCCCUGAGGAGCGGGCCACCCCCCAUGCCAAGUCAGAGCGGCCUAGCCAUCCCCUCUACGAGCCUGAGCCUGAGCCUAGGGACAGUCCCCAGCCUGGCCAAGGCCAUAGUCCUGGAGCCACAGCUGCGGCCACUGGUCUGCCCCCAGAGCCUGAACCAGAUGGCCCUGACUACUCAGAACUCGCUGAUGCCGACAUCCUCAGUGAGCUGGCCUCCCUUACUUGCCCUGAGGCCCAGCUGCUAGAGGCCCAGGCCCUCGAGCCACCAUCACCUGAGCCGGAGCCUCAGCUCCUGGACUCUCAGCCCCGCUUCCUGGACCCACAGGCACUAGAGCCGCUCGGGGAAGCUUUGGAGCUGCCACCCCUGCAGCCUCUUGCUGAUCCUCUGGGGCUGCCUGGCCUGGCCCUCCAGGGCCUGGAUUCCCUGCCUGACUCCCUGGAGUCGCAGCUGCUUGACCCCCAGGCUCUCGACCCCCUACCCAAGUUGCUUGACGUCCCGGGUCGCCGUCUAGAGCCCCAGCAGCCCCUGGGGCACUGCCCACUGGCCGAGCCCUUGCGCCUGGACUUGUGCUCACCUCACGGCCCCCCUGGGCCCGAGGGUCACCCCAAGUACGCCUUGCGGCGCACUGAUAGGCCAAAGAUCCUGUGUCGCCGGCGGAAAGCUGGACGAGGGCGCAAGGCAGACGCCGGACCUGAGGGCCGCCUGCUGCCCCUGCCUAUGCCCACAGGGCUGGUGGCCGCCCUGGCCGAGCCCCCACCACCGCCUCCUCCACCUCCUCCUGCCCUGCCAGGCCCAGGCCCAGUCCCAGAGCUGGGGCCAGAAUCUUCCCAGACCCCAGUGGUCCCUACCCGCAAAGGAAAGUGCCGGGGCGUGAGGCGCAUGGUGGUGAAGAUGGCGAAGAUCCCUGUGUCGCUGGGGCGGCGGAACAAGACCACGUACAAAGUGUCGUCCUUGAGCAGCAGCCUGAGCGUGGAGGGCAAGGAGCUGGGCCUGCGCGUGUCGGCAGAGCCCACCCCACUGCUGAAGAUGAAGAACAAUGGGCGGAACGUGGUGGUGGUCUUCCCGCCUGGUGAGAUGCCCAUUAUUCUCAAGCGUAAGCGUGGCCGCCCUCCCAAGAACCUGCUCCUGGGUCCUGGCAAGCCCAAGGAACCAGCCGUGGUGGCAGCUGAGGUGGCCACUGUGGCAGCAGCCACCAUGGCCAUGCCAGAGGUGAAGAAACGACGGCGGCGGAAGCAGAAGCUGGCAUCUCCCCAGCCGUCCUAUGCAGCGGACGCCAAUGACAGCAAGGCCGAGUACUCAGACGUCCUCGCCAAGCUGGCCUUCCUGAACCGCCAGAGCCAGUGUGCUGGACGGUGCUCGCCACCCCGCUGCUGGACACCCAGCGAGCCCGAGUCAGUGCACCAGGCCCCCGACACCCAGAGCAUCUCCCACUUCCUGCACCGUGUGCAGGGCUUCCGGCGGCGUGGGGGCAAAGCAGGCGGUUUUGGUGGCCGGGGUGGGGGCCAUGCAGCCAAGGCUGCCCGAUGCUCCUUCAGUGACUUCUUUGAGGGCAUCGGCAAGAAAAAGAAGGUGGUGGCAGUGGCAGCUGCUGGGAUUGGGACUCCUGGCCUCACUGAGUUGGGGCACCCACGCAAACGGGGCCGGGGUGAGGUGGACGCUGUGACUGGGAAGCCCAAGCGCAAGAGACGGUCCCGGAAGAAUGGGACUCUGUUCCCAGAGCAGGUGCCCAGUGGCCCAGGCUUUGGGGAGGUGGGCACCGAGUGGGCUGGGGACAAGGGUGGCGGCUGGGCCCCUCACCAUGGGCACCCAGGCGGGCAAGCUGGCCGAAACUGUGGGUUCCAGGGGACUGAGGCCCGGGCCUUUGCCUCCGCCGGGCUGGAGAGCGGAGCCUCAGGCCGGGGCAGCUACUACGGCACAGGCACGGCCUCAGGCCAGACCGAGCUCAGCCAGGAACGCCAGAACCUCUUCACUGGCUACUUUCGCUCGCUGCUUGAUUCGGAUGAUUCCUCCGACCUCUUGGACUUUGCCCUCUCAGCCUCUCGCCCAGAGUCCCGGAAGGCAUCAGGCACCUAUGCGGGGCCUCCCACCAGUGCCCUGCCUGCCCAGCGGGCCCUGGCCACCUUUCCCAGCCGAGGAGCCAAGGCCAGCCCAGUGGCAGUGGGGAGCAGUGGGGCCGGGGCAGACCCCUCCUUCCAGCCCGUCCUGCCCGCUCGCCAGACCUUCCCAGCAGGACGGGCAGCAAGCUAUGGGAUAACUCCAGCCACUUCAGACUGCCGGGCGGCUGAGACCUUCCCAAAGCUGGCUCCCCCGCCUUCAGCCGUGGCCCGCUCACCUACAACUCACCCGCCCGCCAACGCCUACCCUCCCCAGUAUGGCGGUUACGGGGCUGGACAAAGCGUGUUCGCCCCAGCUAAGCCCUUUACUGGCCAGGACUGUGCUAACAGCAAGGACUGCAGCUUCGCCUAUGGCAGUGGCAGCAGCCUCCCCGCCUCACCCAGCAGUGCCCACAGUGCUGGCUACGCCCCACCGCCUACUGGGGCCCCCUGCCUGCCACCAAGCAAGGCCUCCUUCUUCAACAGUUCUGAGGGGGCCCCCUUCUCUGGUUCAGCCCCCACACCCCUGCGCUGUGACAGCCGGGCCAGCACUGUCUCGCCCGGUGGCUACAUGGUGCCCAAGGGCACCACAGCCUCUGCCACCUCCGCAGCCUCUGCCGCCUCCUCCUCCUCCUCCUCCUUCCAGCCCUCGCCUGAGAACUGUCGGCAGUUUGCGGGGGCUUCUCAGUGGCCUUUCCGGCAGGGCUAUGGAGGCCUGGACUGGGCCUCAGAGGCCUUUAGUCAGCUCUACAAUCCCAAUUUCGACUGCCACGUCAGCGAGCCCAACGUGAUCCUGGACAUCUCCAACUACACACCACAGAAGGUGAAGCAGCAGACGGCCGUGUCCGAGACGUUCUCCGAGUCGUCCUCUGACAGCACCCAGUUCAAUCAGCCGGUUGGUGGUGGCGGGUUCCGGCGUGCCAACAGCGAGGCCUCAAGCAGCGAGGGCCAGUCGAGUCUGUCGAGCCUGGAGAAACUGAUGAUGGACUGGAAUGAGGCAUCAUCCGCCCCCGGCUACAACUGGAACCAGAGUGUGCUCUUCCAGAGCAGCUCCAAGCCGGGCCGUGGACGGCGGAAGAAGGUGGACCUGUUCGAGGCCUCCCAUCUGGGCUUUCCGACAUCUGCCUCAGCCGCUGCCUCAGGUUACCCAUCCAAACGGAGCACCGGGCCCCGGCAGCCACGGGGUGGACGGGGUGGUGGGGCCUGCUCAGCAAAGAAGGAGCGAGGUGGUGCGGCAGCCAAAGCCAAGUUCAUCCCCAAGCCACAGCCGGUCAACCCGCUGUUCCAGGACAGCCCAGACCUUGGCCUGGACUACUACAGUGGGGACAGUAGCAUGUCACCAUUGCCCUCACAGUCGAGGGCCUUUGGCGUGGGAGAGCGAGACCCCUGUGACUUCAUGGGACCCUAUUCCAUGAACCCGUCCACGCCUUCUGACGGCACCUUCGGCCAAGGCUUCCACUGCGACUCGCCCAGCCUGGGUGCUCCCGAGCUCGACAGCAAGCAUUUCCCACCGCUGGCCCACCCGCCCACGGUGUUUGACGCUGGCCUGCAGAAGGCAUACUCACCCACCUGCUCGCCCACCCUGGGCUUCAAGGAAGAACUGCGGCCGCCGCCCACGAAGCUGGCUGCCUGCGAGCCCCUCAAGCACGGGCUCCAGGGAGCCAGCCUGGGCCAUGCAGCUGCAGCCCAGGCCCACCUGAGCUGCCGGGACCUGCCUCUGGGCCAGCCCCACUACGACUCCCCCAGCUGCAAGGGCACAGCUUAUUGGUACCCACCAGGCUCAGCUGCCCGCAGCCCGCCCUACGAAGGCAAGGUGGGGACCGGGCUGCUGGCUGACUUCCUGGGCAGGACGGAGGCUGCAUGCCUCAGUGCCCCCCACCUGGCUAGCCCACCGGCCACGCCCAAGGCUGACAAGGAGCCACUGGAGAUGGCCCGGCCACCUGGCCCACCCCGUGGCCCUGCUGCAGCUGCUGCUGGCUAUGGCUGCCCACUCCUUAGUGACUUGACCCUGUCCCCUGUGCCGAGGGACUCGCUGCUGCCCCUGCAGGACACCGCCUACAGGUAUCCAGGCUUUAUGCCACAGGCACAUCCCGGCCUGGGUGGGGGCCCCAAGAGCGGCUUCCUGGGGCCCAUGGCGGAACCUCACCCUGAGGACACAUUCACCGUCACCUCCCUGUAGUGCCAACUGAAGUGCCGACUGGACCGUGAGGUUUUGUUCCUGGGUGAGUCUGGGGGUGUGGGCACAGGGAACAGAGGCCUGGGUUGGGGGAUGAGGACAUUAGAGCUUAGGCAAGGGGAAGAGGUACAGAGAGGAGCCAGAGGCGUGUGCAGGAUUUAAGGAUAAGAUGGAGGACAGGGAUUCAGGAUUAGGUGUUGUGGACAGUCUUGGGGUGGGGGGAGAUGGGAUGCUUGGACAUUCAGGGAGUCCUGUUAAUUGAAGUGGCCAGAGGACUAUAGAUUGGAUGGGCCCACCUAGUUCAGUUUAUCAAACACUUAUUUCCCUCAUUCAUGCUAGGUCUUGGGCAGUGAGAGAACUUCCCAAGAAGGGUGGGCCUUUGCAUCUCCCUAUAUGGGGCAGGUGAGCGGGGAGCAGGUCGGACGGUCCCCUACUCAGGGCUUAUCCCGAAGACUAGCCCUGCUGGGUACCCUCCUUUCCCUGGGAGCUUCAUUUAUUCCCAGACGUAGCCUGGCAAGGGCCAGGCCAAGACUGCGGCCAGUGUGGCUUGGUCACACGCUCUGCAAGGGCCUUACAGACGGCCCAGAGUAUCCUCUCUUGGCCUCCCUGGGUACCCCCAAAGGCCAUUUCCAACAUCUUUGGCCUGAGGGGCUCAGUGUGGUCAGGAGCAUGUGGGGUUGGGAUCACACGGUCCCUGGGAAGCUACAGCCAGUGGGUCUCUCCCCAGGCAGGAUGUUUUGACCCUAGAAAAGCCAGUCCCUUUCCUGAAGCCAAAUGCUUUCCCCAGAGCUCAGUUAAAUAUCGUUAGAUAUUUAGAUUCUGUUUUUGUCAGGCACUGUGACCUCAUUAGUUAGAGUCAGCUUUCGUAUUCCGAAGAUUUAGUAUUUUUAAAAAGGAUAAUAAAAGACAGAAAAUGCCCCCAAAGUGGUAAAAGAGAACAGGAUUGAAGGAAUCAUCUUCAAGAACAACCGGCUCCAGAAAUACAGUCACAACCAGCCCCACUUUUGGACAACAGAUCUGUUACAAAACUGGCCCAGACACCGUAGUAGGUGGUAGGGUGGGCUGGGGGCAUGUCUAAGCCCCUCACCCUUCAUUUCUGUUGCCAGAAGCCUACUGGGAGUUUCUCUUCCUGGAGAAGGAACAGUAGGGGCUCCUGGAAAGCCCCAUUCCUGCUCUGCAGAGGCCAUCCGAGGCCAGGGUGACUCAGGGUCCUGAAGUCAUGUCAGUUGAAACUUAUUACCCCCUCUCCAGACCCCUGGUGCCUGAGGGUGGCCAAGGAUAGCAGCGAGAGUCCAGGAGGCCUGGGGGAGGCCCAUUCCCUCCUUGGCCAUGAACUUGCUACAUGCCCUUGACUAAGCUUUUGCCCCUCUCUGGGCCUCUAUUUCCCCAACUGUUCAAGGAAAUUGACUUUGAUAAUUUCUUAGGCUCUUGCAAUUCUGCGUGACAUAGAUGAUGGACCAGACCUUUUUUUUUUUUUUUUUUUGGCAGCAUAUUUUCCUUCCUAAUGAAGCCAGGCCAAGAUUAACAUGGCCCCCCAUUCCCUGUGUGUCUCACUGCACAGCAGAGCCGCAGAGCUGAAGCAGGCCAGGGAGAAGCUGCUUAGGGUUUAAAAUGUCAAACUCUUGAUCCUUCUCAGUGGAGGGGAGAUGUCUCCUGGAUAAUCCAGAAAUGUGAAAUAAUCUAAAAAACCAUUCCUCCCAGGCCCCGGGUGGGAAAAUGGAUGGGUGUGGGGGCUGGGUGUUUGGGCAGGUCACAGCUCAGUGAAAUACAUAAUGGAACCACCCAGUGAGGCCUGAACGCAGGAGGAACUGGGAUGCCAUCCAGCCCCACAUUCUGGCCCUGCUCCCCACUCAGGGCUGGGAGUUAGCAGCACUGUCCUCAGACUGAUGCAUUCAAUUGUUCCAGAGACAUCUGUCCAGCACCUCCUAUGUGCCAGGCUUUGGGGGCACCACAGUGAACACCACAAAUGAGCUUUCAGAAAACCAACGCCAAGACCCCUCCCCGCGUCCACAUCGUCCUCUGGCAGGAGCGCCUGCCCCUCUGCCUCCCACCCUGACCCCCCUGCACCCCCCACAGCCCCGUCUGCCCCCACCCCUUCUUGCCCAUCUCCUCCACGCAGAAGCCGAAGGUGAGCCCUUUCUGCACAAAACCAGCAAUUGUAAAUACUUUUUAAAAAUGUACAAAACUUAAAAACAAAACACAGUUUUAGAAAAAGACAAAAAAAAGAGAGAGAGAGAGCGAGAGAGCGAGAGCGUGUGCAAGAGGUUGCGAGCGGGGCCCCAAGGUGUCCAGAGCCCCUGCAAGUAUGCACUGAGAAAUUUAUCUACAGGUCGUUUGACAAAAAUGAACAAUAUCCUAUUUAUUGUAUAUACUGUUUUAUUAUAAAUCGUGGAUUGUAUAUUGCAUUCUGUAAACCUGCUGUGGUCCCGUGGUGUGCAAAUUCGCAUGGUGGGGGGGAGGGAGAAGAACCUCUUGCGGGAGCUUUUUUUUUUUCUUUCUUUCUUAUUUUUCACUCUUUUGGGUUUUCUCUUCUGUUGUUGUUGUUGUUGUUUUCUGUUGGCAGGACACACCCAAAGAUCCAAGUUUGUAUUAAAAAGAAAUGAAAAAAAGCAAAAAAAAAAAAAAAAA